UCCAAUUGGUCGCUGCUUUUUUGGAUUUGGAUAGCGGGCGAGGGAGCGCGGGGACAACGAGGGAGGAGUUAGGGCUAGACCUAGCUCCCCUGCUCCUCGAGGACGGAGGGGCUGCCGGCCGGAGGAGGAGCGGGGCGGCGACGUAGGCCGCGGCGGUGCCCGAGAGCUCGGUCCCUUCGGUACCGGACUCGAGCCGGAGCUCCAGGGGGGCGGCAGAGGACGUCGAAGACGGGGCGGCGGAGUUGCGGGCUCGAGCGGUAGUGUGGUUGGAGCCGCGGCGCGGCGGCGGCCGAGACCAGCGGAGGUGGAGGCGAGGUCCGUUGGGAGCCAGCGGCCGAGCGACCUCGUGCUGCCGUCUGCUACCUACGGGACCAACACACGCUGCCAACGUCAAGAAUGCGCGUUCGAUCCCAACCUCGGCGGUCGAGAAGUAGGACGGGCGGCCGCCGCUCAGAAGGGCAGGGCGUGACGGCGGAGGGACAAUAGUGUCGUACCAGUUUUGUUACCACGGAAGUGGGAAAGAGCACGGAGUUGGGUG
rnacentral:rRNA from 1 species